rnacentral:rRNA from 1 species
UAGCUAGUUGGUGGGGUAAUGGCUCACCAAGGCGACGAUCCGUAACUGGUCUGAGAGGAUGAUCAGUCACACUGGAACUGAGACACGGUCCAGACUCCUACGGGAGGCAGCAGUGGGGAAUAUUGGACAAUGGGCGAAAGCCUGAUCCAGCCAUGCCGCGUGUGUGAAGAAGGUCUUCGGAUUGUAAAGCACUUUAAGUUGGGAGGAAGGGCAGUAAAUUAAUACUUUGCUGUUUUGACGUUACCGACAGAAUAAGCACCGGCUAACUCUGUGCCAGCAGCCGCGGUAAUACAGAGGGUGCAAGCGUUAAUCGGAAUUACUGGGCGUAAAGCGCGCGUAGGUGGUUAGUUAAGUUGGAUGUGAAAUCCCCGGGCUCAACCUGGGAACUGCAUUCAAAACUGACUGACUAAAAGUAUGGUAAAAGGGUGGGUGGAAUUUCCUGUGGUACCGGGUGAAAUGCGUUAAAUAUAGGAAAGGAAC